GGAUGUGUGCAGCUCAGCGGUAGAGCACUUGCCUGGUAGGCACAAGGUCCUGGGUUAGAGUUCCAGCACUGUCU
rnacentral:tRNA from 1 species